rnacentral:lncRNA from 10 species
AUGGCUGCGGCCCCCGGAGGAGGGGACGUGAAGUGAGGAGGGGGUUGGGAGGGGAGAGGACGCGGGCGAGGAAGACCAGCCCCGGGGCCCCGAAGCGUUUUCAGGCUCCUCGGAAGCUCACCAUCCAUGCCAUCGGAUAAAGUGACUCCUGUGGAAUGCCCUCGUUCCUGUACCGCACACCCCUGGAGCCCAGGUCUCCUGGUUCCUAGCAUGCCACGAUGCGGCCCCUGCCCGCUGCCCAGCGCCAGAUGCAAGCAAAGCCCCGCUCUUUCAUUGGUGUGUCACCGCGGGCUAAACUUUGGCGUUGCCUUGGUCACGUGCUGCUACAUCCCACCCUCUCUCCUGAGUUUUUCGGUGGCUCUUGAGGGAAAAAAGGAGGGAGCUCGUUAUGGAAUCUGUUUUCCUUCUGCUAUGUGGGUGUAUGCAUUGGAGAGAAGGAUCUUUUUCUCAUGAUUUAUCCAAGACGCUCAGCUUUAGUGACAUA